rnacentral:rRNA from 1 species
GCUUGUCUCAAAGAUUAAGCCAUGCAUGUCUAAGUACAAGCCUCAGUAAGGUGAAACCGCGAAUGGCUCAUUAAAUCACACCUAAUCUACUGGAAAGUUACUAGUUACUUGGAUAACCGUAGUAACUCUAGAGCUAAUACAUGCAUCAAUCCCCGACUUCCUGGAAGGGGUGUACUUAUUAGAUGGAAACCAAUGCGGGGCAACCCGGAUUCUGGUGAUUCAUAAUAAUUAUCGGAUCGAUCGUAUGAUCGAUGCAUCAUUCAAGUUUCUGCCCUAUCAGCUUUGGAUGGUAGGGUAUUGGCCUACCAUGGCAUUAACGGGUAACGGAGAAUUAGGGUUCGAUUCCGGAGAGGGAGCCUGAGAAAUGGCUACCACAUCCAAGGAAGGCAGCAGG